CACUUUUCUCUGGGACACUCUGGACUCUUUGGAUCUGCUCAGGACUCUGGACUGAGCAUGGAUCAGAGAGAGCACAGAGAGGACGCAGACCCUCUGACCACCAGCAGGGCGGCGCUGGAAGCAUCUAUUAGAAGACUGAGCAAUUUUACAAAGUCUGGUCCACGGAUUCAGCAGAAACAUCCUCCGUCUGAACCUGGUCCCAGCUGUGAGUCCUUCAAGAGUGACCAUUCUAUGAGACCUCCCAUUGUUUUGCAAUAGAGCCAGUGGAGCAGACAGAUCUAGAGGUCUCCAGUGGUCAGCACCAUCAGACACAGCUGGACUCCAUAUUUAAG